GUAACUAUGAAUCUUUUAAGGUAGCCAAAUGCCUCGUCAUCUAAUUAGUGACGCGCAUGAAAUGGAUUAACGAGAUUCUCACUGUCCCUAUCUACUAUCUAGCGAAACCACAGCCAAAGGGAACGGGCUUGGAAAAAUCAGCGGGGAAAGAAGAACCCUGUUGAGCUUGACUCUAAUCUGGCAUUGUUCGGAGACAUGCCGAGGUGUAGCAUACGUGGGAGACCCGGACCAAGGCGGGCGGUUUCGGCCGUUCGUCUCCGGGCCGACCUUGAAAUACCACUACUCGCAUCGUUUCCCCACUUACUCGGUAGAGCGGAACGCGCGGUUCCGGCCGCGGGCGCGUCCGGCCGGCGGUCGUCGUCCCGUCGCGUCGUCGGUUUGCCGUCGGUUCGCCGGCGCGCUACUGGCGCGCGGCGUGGUCGCCGUGCCGUCGGCCUGUGCCCGUUCGUGCCGGGCCGCGGUUGAUAUUCCGGUAGCGUUAAGCACCAGCCGAGGGAUCCGGGCGUCAAACCGCGGACCGCGUCCGUCCGCGUACGGCCGACCGUCAAAAGUCGCCGUCCGCGUUCGCGGCGUAUCCGCGGGCCCGGUCCCUGGUGCGAUCCGUAUUCCGAGGACACCGCCAGGUGGGGAGUUUGACUGGGGCGGUACAUCUGUCAAAAAAUAACGCAGGUGUCCUAAGGCCAGCUCAGCGAGGACGGAAACCUCGCGUAGAGCAAAAGGGCAAAUGCUGGCUUGAUCCCGGACGCUCAGUACGCGUAGGGACUGCGAAAGCAUCGGCCUCUCGAUCCUCUCGUCCGCUGAAGAGUUUUCAGCGAGAGGUGUCAGAAAAGUUACCAACAGGGAUAACUGGCUUGUGGCGG
rnacentral:ncRNA from 1 species